rnacentral:rRNA from 1 species
AUACGUAGGGUGCGAGCGUUGUCCGGAAUUACUGGGCGUAAAGAGCUCGUAGGUGGUUUGUCGCGUCGUCUGUGAAAUUCCGGGGCUUAACUCCGGGCGUGCAGGCGAUACGGGCAUAACUUGAGUACUGUAGGGGAGACUGGAAUUCCUGGUGUAGCGGUGAAAUGCGCAGAUAUCAGGAGGAACACCGGUGGCGAAGGCGGGUCUCUGGGCAGUAACUGACGCUGAGGAGCGAAAGCAUGGGGAGCGAACAGGAUUAGAUACCCUGGUAGUCCAUGCCGUAAACGGUGGGCGCUAGGUGUAGGGGUCUUCCACGACUUCUGUGCCGUAGCUAACGCAUUAAGCGCCCCGCCUGGGGAGUACGGCCGCAAGGCUAAAACUCAAAGGAAUUGACGGGG